rnacentral:rRNA from 1 species
AUUGAACGCUGGCGGCAUGCCUUACACAUGCAAGUCGAACGGCAGCACGGGAGCAAUCCUGGUGGCGAGUGGCGAACGGGUGAGUAAUAUAUCGGAACGUGCCCAGUCGUGGGGGAUAACGUAGCGAAAGCUACGCUAAUACCGCAUACGAUCUACGGAUGAAAGCGGGGGAUCGCAAGACCUCGCGCGAUUGGAGCGGCCGAUAUCAGAUUAGCUAGUUGGUGGGGUAAAAGCUCACCAAGGCGACGAUCUGUAGCUGGUCUGAGAGGACGACCAGCCACACUGGAACUGAGACACGGUCCAGACUCCUACGGGAGGCAGCAGUGGGGAAUUUUGGACAAUGGGCGCAAGCCUGAUCCAGCAAUGCCGCGUGCAGGAUGAAGGCCUUCGGUUGUAACUGCUUUGUACGGUACGAAACGGUGAGCUCUAAUAAGACUUGCUAAUGACGGUACCGUAAGAAUAAGCACCGGCUAACUACGUGCC